UUGAACGCUGGCGGCAUGCCUUACACAUGCAAGUCGAACGGUAGAGGGGCAACCCUUGAGAGUGGCGAACGGGUGAGUAAUAUAUCGGAACGUGCCCAGUCGUGGGGGAUAACGCAGCGAAAGUUGCGCUAAUACCGCAUACGAUCUAUGGAUGAAAGCGGGGGAUCGCAAGACCUCGCGCGAUUGGAGCGGCCGAUAUCAGAUUAGGUAGUUGGUGGGGUAAAA
rnacentral:rRNA from 1 species